rnacentral:lncRNA from 1 species
AUGAGCUUUUCCAGCUCGGCAACUGUACAUUUCCCCACCUUCGGCCGGAAGUGAACGCUCCGUUCUGGUGUAACCAGGGGGCAGCCUGCUUCUUUGAAGGAAUUUACGAUAAACACUGGAAGGAAAACGGGACGUUGUCUCUGGUUGCAACCAUAUCCGGAAACACGUUUAACAAAGUGGCCGAGUGGGUGAAGCAGGACAAUGAGACUGGGAUUUAUUACGAGACAUGGACAGUCCGGGCCAGCCCAGGAAAA